AGUGCUCUCUGCUUCUGAGUAGCCAGCCAGUGGGGAGGCGCUGGAGAGAUGGCUUAGACGCAUAACAUGGUUGGAAUGGUUACACCACGGCAUUUGGCAAAUGUUACAAGUUAGAGCAUUUUCACUCUCAGAGAGGCCGGCUGCCCAGAGCAGCCUGUCUGAGGGUGGCUGCGUGCUUAGGAAAGAAAAAUAGUAAAUAUACAGAAAAAUCUAUUUGCUUCUGCAACCCUGCGUAUCAGGCUUUGGGGGAGAGAGAGAGAAAAAAAAGCAAAAGUCUGACAGAGCGGCUCGGUAGGGCAGCGAUGAGUAAGAGGACUUGUAGCUGGGUAUGAGAUAGCCAAGCUGACCAGAUAAGAGAAAUGACAGGGCUCCGGGAAAAUGACAAAGCUGGCCUUGUCAGGUUCUGAUGGACACGGACAAGACCUUCCUGAGGAAUACACGCAAGUUGUAGAGACUAGGAACCAGGAGGAGGAAUUUCAGAACUACAAUUCUACUGGGGAACCGGAAGCAACCUGCUUUGCAAGCUAGGACGAAACCCCUAGGACACCCUACAAUCAAGGCGGGGGGGCGCAUCCAUGCCACAGGGAUUCUUACCAUCAUUGCAAGCUUUGGCAAGUCUUCAAGGGCGAAGAUCAUGCCUGACCUCAGAGUCUCGCUGUAGCUUGUUCAUGGUGUCUCAGUGUGCAGGGUAAGUUCUAAUCAAGCUAGGACAAGGCAAUCCAGCAGGUCUGUGCUUGGGACACAGGUGGGGACAUCUAUUUGUGGGAGACACACAGGUGGGCAGCGCUGGAGGUGAGAUUUAAGUGGAGUCCGCAGGACCUGGGUUUUCAUUAGCUUCAUGGGAUUCAAGGAGCUGAGGGCAUCAACUUGCAUUCCAUUCUCCUACCAGAAUCGGGAGGGAAGAGUCACUACUGGGGUGUGGUGCUAACCGGGCAGGCGCUGUGAGACUCUGAGGGAAGACAGCUGUGACUCAGAGGCUUCCAGGAGGAUCUACAGGGUUUGCACAGGCUGGGGCAAGCUCCUCACCCAUCUAGCCACAGGCCACACAGCUUCUGUUCUAGAAGCAUCUCCUGGUGCCUGCAUUUCUUGGUCUUGAGGAAAUAGAAAGGCUAGGAUUGACACUCCCAAUCCACACUUGAUUUUAGGGCACAUGUGUCGAUUUUAUUCUAUGUAGUGUUCCUUCUGUGUUGGGAUCAGGCCCCCCCCCUUUUUUUUCUUUUUUUCGGAGCUGGGGACCGAACCCCGGGCCUUGCGCUUGCUAGGCAAGUGCUCUACUGCUGAGCUAAAUCCCCAACCCCAGGGAUCAGGCCCUUUUGGAGAAUUUUGGUACCAGACCAGACAGUUACGAACACAUAGUAUUUUCUGAUGGCGGUCAAGGAAGAGCUAUGGGGACAGAAUUGGAAGGGAAAGUAGAAAACCUGUGUGUGUGUGUGUGUGUGUGUGUGUCUGUGUGUACACACAUGUGCACGUUCACUCUUCUGACAAUGUAGAAUUAGCUCUGUUCCCCAGUCCUGGCUGCACAACACAAACGCAGGCGUCUUUGACCCCCUUCCUUUCCACAUUCUAUACUUCUGCACCCACAGGUUCUUCCUUUUGGUUACCUUCCGGUGGCCUGUGUUGUCACUCAGUUCUCUUGCUUGGGUAGUGGAAUAGCCCUGUAUCCGGCCUGGCAGAUGACUCUAUUCUAAAGAGACACGUGUGUCGCUCAGUCUCACUACCAGGGUCUUGAAACAAUGAACCCCAAAGACACGGGAAUCCCCCCCCCCCCCGCCCAAGGAAUCUCAACCUGGGAGAAGGAAAAGACACAAGCUGGAUGGGGUAACUUUGUUUCCCUAAAAGAGAUUGCAAACAAUCCUACGGACUUGUCAGACGCCUUACAGGAUGAGACAGAAACCCAGAUAAUGACGGGGCAAAGGUCAGGGCCACACCUUUGCCAGGACGGCUUAGAUGCGCACAUCCUCAGCUCCCUGCUUCAGUUUUGAUCUCAGAGCUGGAGAAGUGGCUCAGUGGCUAAGAGCAUUGGUUGCUCACCCUGAGGACUUGGGUUUGAUUCUCGGCUCCCACGUGUUAGUUUUUUUACCAUGUUGAACUCUAGUUCUGACAACCCCUUCUGUUCCCCUAUGGGUGCAACAUCCACAUGGUGCACAGACCAUGCAGACAAACACCCAUACAUAUAAAAUAAAAAUAAAUAAAUCUGAAACAAUUUAAACUUUAAUCUCAUUUCAGGAUAUUGGACACAAGGGGCUCACUACUUGUCUUUCUUCCAAAUGUGGCCACACUGAACACAUGCCUUUUUUCUGCUUUUCGUUUUUAAUUUGGCUCUUUUAAUUGGCUUAUCGGGGAUGGGUGGCUCAACCUAACCAGGGGUACAGACUGUGACCCCCAAGUUUGCUAACAGCCUCUUCGUUUGCUUGAGACAGAGUCAGAUGUACGUCAUGCUGGCUUCAAAGUUGCCAUGUAGCCAAGGCGAGAGCCACUGUGCUCAGUUUGUGUGGUGCUGGGCAUUGAACUCAGGGUCUCAUGCAUUCCUGGCAAGCGCUGUGCUAACUGAGCUGCACUCCUCCCCAGCAUGCAGAAUAGCCUCUUAGCUGAUUUUUAUGAUGACAAUCUUUUAUUUUUUUUCCCUUCUUCACUCUGGGUCCCAUCAAAAUCAGCUGUGAAAUGUGUCUUCAAGCAUUUGCUUCUUAUAGAAUCUUUCCAUGGCUUCUCUGAUUUAAAACCUUUAACAUAUCCCAAGUGGACUCACAUACAUACAUAUAUGUGUGUGCAUACAUAUACACAUAAACAUACACAUACAUUACACAUACACAUAUACAUACAUUACACAAACACGUAUAUAUACAUAUACAAACACCAACAUAUACAUCAUAUACACAUACACAUACAUUAUAUAUACACAUUACAUACAUACACACAUAUAUUAGUACAUAUAUGUACAUUACAUAUAUACACACAUAUUGCACAUACACAUAUACAUAUACAUUACAUAUACACAUACAUAUACAUGCAUCAUAUGCAUACACAAACAUACAUAUCCAUCAUAUAUACAACACACAAACAUUACGCAUACACAUAUACAUUACAUAUACACAUACCAUAGGCAUUACAUAUAUGCAUACAUACACAAACACAAACAUAUACAUUAUAUACACAUACACGUACAUAUGCAACAUGUGUGUUAUUUUUUCCUUUCUUUCUUUUUUUUUUUUUUUUUUGGUUCUUUUUUCCGGAGCUGGGGACCGAACCCGGGGCCUUGCGCUUCCUAGGCAAGCGCUCUAACCACUGAGCUAAAUCCCCAGUCCCCAUUUUUUCCUUUCUUAUCUAAGUUCUGUGUUUAAAAUGUCCAGACAUCUUCCCCUCCAUCCUUCCUUCUUUCCGUGGCGUCGUCUCCUAAAACUUUCUAGCCCUCCUGAGUCAGGAAAGACUAAACUGAUCACGGGAAGGUCUUCUGUCAUUUCUGCUGAGGUCACUACUCUCUGGCUGGCAUCUUGCCACAGUCUCACUUCCAGAAGCAACGAUGCAAAACCUGCUCAAGCAGAGCUCUUUAAAUCGCACGCCAGGGCAGCGAUGCUUUGCUAAAGUCACUGUUUACCCAGCCGUUAGUCCGUGCAGCAGAGCAGACUGACUUACUGAGAUUCCCCGGGGAGGAAUCGGGUGAAAUGCCCGAAUUAUUUGGACCACAGCUCAUGUCCUAGAGCCAUGCACGCGUCCUCAAGCAAUUCCAAGAGGUGCCAUUGGCUGGUAGGGGGCUAAAAUGGGUAACCCCCUUUCCCAUCAUCAGGGCAUUGUGGAAGAACCUUAGUCCUGGGGUCCUAAACAGGAAGGCAGGAAGGAGGCAGGCAGCCACCCAGGCAAAACUUUGGUUCUAAACUCAGUGUUACCAGAGCAUCAGAAGGGAAAACGGGGCUGAGUGAAAGGUUCCGCCAUGUGUCACCUUCUCAACUAAAUUCUGACAUCCUUAGGACGUGACUCUGCCUUGGAUCCUCUUUGGCACUUGGUAAAGUGCUGUGCACACAGCAAAUUACCCUACACGUUACUAGUCAUUAGCCGCACAGACGAGUUUCUAUCCAGUUCCAUACCGCGGGGAGAAGAAUCUCCUGAGGGAUGGGAUUCCAUUUCUCUAAGAGUUCCCAGGGCCUCGCUUAGACAUGUGUUGAGUCUCCAAAUCCACUCUGCUAUAAGGAAAACCAUAAAUGCAUUGCAAUGAAUACAGUACUUAGCCUUCAAUUAAAUCUCACAUCUGUUUGAGACCUUCCUAGAAGAUGCCAGUUAGGAACCAAGAACAAAGGGACUUGAACCGAUACAGAAAUCUUAGAGAAAGUCAGGAAUCCUAGGUCCUUGGGAGUCCAGGCGUGACUCUUUCUCAUGGCUUCUCAGUGUGCCAGGACUCGCCCAGACACUGACUGCUACUGUUGAAUGGCCUUACACAUUUGAGUCUAGAUGGCUUCUAGAUCGAAGGAGAGGACCACGGCAAGCUAGAAGGGACAUUUCAGGAACUGGCAUUAAGAUUUCCCUCUUUUUGCAGUAUGUAGAUUGAUCACGGGAGAUGUGGGGAUCUAUACACCCUGGAGCAAAACAUGAGAAGGACCCACUAGUCUAAGGGUUUCCAGAGUCACAAAAGGGGACUGUAGAUCCUUUCCUAGAUUCUAGCUCUGGGUGUGGAGCUAAGGACCAGAAUGGUUAAUAAACAUCACUGGUCUGAGGCAAAUGCUUUGCAAAGAGAAGCUGAACUUUGACCUUUCCGGUGAGUUUUAGUACACAGAGGACAAGCCAAAGUUCAGAGAAGUCCUGAAACGAAGGCUCCUGCUUAGAGAACACUUCUUUCCACAGCCCCAGGAAUGGCUGUAUGCAACGUACAUUCAGAAAUGUGAACCAUGAAUAUGAACCGUGAAUACCAGCCCAACGGGGCCUCCCAGCCUCACUGUGAUAUGGAGUUUCACAGAACAGGGCUUCCCGGCCACAGACCACUGCUUUUCAUAUGAUGAUUGCAUGCUUUGGUUCUCAGUGAGGAGUUAGUUCUCCUCAAGGAAUAGUUGGCAAUGCCUGGAGGCCCUGGUGGGAGCCAUAACGGUUGGGCGGAGUGCUGAGAGACGGGAGUGCCCUAGGAUGCAAUGAACAAAGUCCCACCACAGGGGGUUAUCUGGCCCCAGAGGUCAGUAAUACUGGGGUUGGAAACCCUGGACUAGAGCCACGGAAUCAUGAGGAAAUAAAGCACUUAAUCCUCUGAUGACAGCCCGAGAACCGCUGUGAUGGAUUUUUUGACUCUGAGCAAUUUAAUAUUUUCAGUAGACAGCAUAAACGUCUUCCUCGGGGCCCCAUACGCUGUAUAUCUUCUGUACAGCAGAAAUUUAAAAUGGUACUUAAUUGCUUUUUUAUGUAAAUCUGUAUCAGAGAACAUUCGUUGUCAGACUUACCCCAGCCUAACAGACUUAUUGACAAGACACUGAAACUCAGUAGGUGCAGUGUCGAUGUCUUUAAAUGGCAAAUUGUAUUUCACCCUUUAAUGUGCAAUCCUAGAAUAGAUAACUAUAUACACAUACACCCAUAUACACAUACGCUUACAUAUACACAUACACACUCAUAUCCCCAUGCAUACAUUCAUACACAUAUGCACACAAGCAUUCAAAUGCACAUAAACACAAUACAAUAUGUGCAUGCAUAUAUACAUACAGACACAUAUACAGGACAUGUAAUCACACACAUAUGCAUACAUAUACAUGCAUUUGCAUAUACACACAUAUACACAUGACAUGUAAACAUACACAUAUAUACAUAUGCAUACCUAUACACAGUUAUGUACAUAAUACAUACAUACAACAUAGAUGCGCGCACACACACAUGCGCAUACACACCAUUUUUAGUACAUAACACUGAUGUAGAUGGGUAUGAGUCCUCUCUUUCCUCUGAGAUUUUUCUGAGCACAGAAAGCAGAAAUGUGGUUUAAAGAUAAUACUUCCAGCAGACCAGGAAGACUCAGGUGGUUUAAAAAUACACACCCUGGGGGUUGGGGAUUUAGCUCAGUGGUAGAGCACUUGCCUAGGAAGCACAAGGCCCUGGGUUUGGUCCCCAGCUCCAAAAAAAAAGAAGAAAAAAAUACACACCCUGGAGUUCCCAACAAUCAAGGGUUUGCUGUAUCUCUGUUUUUCAACAAAGAACUCUGCCUUGCUAUCCUUUUCCCAUGCGUAUUUUUUUUUAAUUAGGAAAAAUUCUAAAAAAGAAAUAUUCUGCUUUUUUACAUCAUUAUCUCUCAAUAUUCAUGCAUCAUACAUAUGUUCUCUAUAAAUUAAUAUACCUUCCAUGAUGUUUAAAAUGUUCUGUAAUUAUCUUAACAUAAAUUCACUAGUCUAUUAGUAUUUAAACCAAAAAAUUAAAAGUGAAAUAUUUCUGUUCCUAUUUCAGUUUAGCACUCCAUGUGCUUUGAGGUAAUAUGAAAGAUAACAAUUUUCUAUAAAUCUCUGAAAAGAUUAGCAGUUCUUUUUUUUCUGUAUAUAUAUAUUUAUAUUUAUAUAAAAAGACCAAUAAUAGCAGUGUGUUAUGCAUCAACAG